CACGUAGGGGGCAAGCGUUGUCCGGAUUUAUUGGGCGUAAAGAGCUCGUAGGCGGCUCAGUAAGUCAGGUGUGAAACCUCCAGGCUCAACCUGGAGACGCCACCUGAUACUGCUGUGGCUAGAGUCCGGUAGGGGAGCGUGGAAUUCCUGGUGUAGCGGUGAAAUGCGCAGAUAUCAGGAGGAACACCGAUGGCGAAGGCAGGUCUCUGGGCCGCUACUGACGCUGAGAAGCGAAAGCAUGGGGAGCGAACAGG
rnacentral:rRNA from 1 species